rnacentral:rRNA from 1 species
CCUACGGGGGGCAGCAGUGGGGAAUAUUGGGCAAUGGGCGCAAGCCUGACCCAGCGACGCCGCGUGAGGGAAGACGGUCUUCGGAUUGUAAACCUCUUUCAGCAGGGAAGACAAAAGGACGGUACCUGCAGAAGAAGCCACGGCUAACUACGUGCCAGCAGCCGCGGUAAUACGUAGGAUUCAAGCGUUAUCCGGAUUUAUUGGGUUUAAAGGGUGCGUAGGCGGUCGGAUAAGUUAGAGGUGAAAUCCCGAGGCUCAACUUCGGAAUUGCCUCUGAUACUGUUCGGCUAGAGAGUAGUUGCGGUAGGCGGAAUGUAUGGUGUAGCGGUGAAAUGCUUAGAGAUCAUACAGAACACCGAUUGCGAAGGCAGCUUACCAAGCUACUUCUGACGUUGAGGCACGAAAGCGUGGGGAGCAAACAGGAUUAGAUACCCCAGUAGUC